rnacentral:rRNA from 1 species
GACAGAGGUGCCGAGCGUUAGGCGGAAUCACUGGGCUUAAAGCGUGUGUAGGCGGGCCGUUAAGUGUCUUGUGAAAUCCCCCGGCUCAACCGGGGAAUUGCUGGGCAUACUGGCGGUCUUGAGCAAUCUAGGGGCAGAUGGAACAAGUGGUGGAGCGGUGAAAUGCGUAGAUAUCGUCUGGAACGCCGAAGGUGAAAACAGCUCGCUGGGGCUGCGCUGACGCUGAGACACGAAAGCCAGGGGAGCGAACGGG